ensembl:lncRNA
AGUGAAAGAGGUUGUGUUUUGGUUCUAGGAUGUCCUGUUCCAGUCUGAGCAACUAUCUCCAAUAUAUACCAAGGGUACAAAACAUUAGGAACACCUUCUUAAUAUUGAGUUGCACCACCUGCUGCCCUCAGAACAGCGUCAAUUCGUUGGGGCAUGGACUACAAUGUGUCAAGCGUUCCGCAGGGAUGCUGGCUCAUGUUGACUCCAAUGCUUCCCACAGUUAAGUCAAGUUGGCUGGAUGUCCUUUGGGUGGUGGACCAUUAUUGAUACACACAGGAAACUGUUAAGCAUGAAAAACCCAGCAGCAUUGCAGUUCUUGACACACGCAAACCGGUGUGACUGGCACCUACUACCAUACCCUGUUCAAAGACGCUUACAUAUUUUGUCUUGCACAAUCACCCUCUGAAUGGCACACAUACACAAACCGUGUCUCAAGGCUUGAAAAACCUGUCUCCUCUCUUCCAGCUACACUGAUUUGAAGCAGAUUUUUUUUAGGUGACAGCAAUAAGGGAUCAAAGCUUUCACCUGGAUGCCGUGUCAUAGAAAGAGCAGGUGUUCCUAAUGUUUUGAAUACUUUACAUAUCUAUAUGUAACUAUGCAUAUCUAUAUGUAACUAUGCAUAUCUAUAUGUAACAUUGUGCAGUGCCAGUGUUUCCUUCCGUUGCAACAGCAAGGCACUCCCCAGAUUUGUAACUUAACAGUGCAUUUCUGCAGUGCAUGAAAACACCCAUGUAGUGGACGCUGAUAUCACUGAAUACUUUUGAUCUGUACAGACCUCAUCUCAGAAACCAAGAACUAAAGUCUUUACAAGUUAUGUUACAUGCAUCUUUCCAUGAGCAAUUAGUACAGACCAAAAACUGUAGGGGAAUUUUGAGUAUGUAAGAAGCUACCCAUGAUUAUGAUCAUUCGUAAACGAUAUCGAUUGUGUUCUAAUGUCUUGAUUUCUCAAAUGUUGAUGAGGGUGCAUUAUGAACAGACAAAAUGUUAAAUCUUAACAAAUGAUUCCACCCUGUGCAAUGAAAUGUUUCAAUGUCUUAUAUAUUUUUUUAAAUAUUAAGAAAUCGUCUGAAUUAUACUAUAGGACGUGUAAUGUUGAGUUGCACAGUGCAAAGGAGGUGUGUACUCCAAUUAUUACACAUCUUUGUGUUUGACUGCAGGCAUUUAAACAUGCACCAUCAAUGAACUCAGACCAGUGUUGUGGCACCACUUGUAGCUAAUGCAUGGUUUAAUGUGCUCAUGCACUGCUGCCUAGUAUUAAUUAGGCAUUAGCCUCAAUAGCUGUUUCUAGACUUCACUCACAGAAGAACAUCGUGUGAAUUCACCUCUUGUGCCCUAGGUCUUCGAAAAUUGACUUUUUUUUGCUUGAACAAACAAACUGUCUCAAUGUGGUCUUUGUAAACAUCCACAGUGUUAUCAGAAAUGGUCUAUAAUGUAGUAACCAGCUUUGGUGUCAUGCAGUUCUCAACUCAAGACAUAGAUGAAAAAUAAAUUGGACAAGUUGAAGACUCAAGCCAAGAGGAGAUUUCCCCUGGGACAGUCUGUCUGAUCUGGGCUAGCCGGUCUGAUGGGGCUGCACACUCCACAUUACUCGUUUGACGUUAUCUUGACUCUAGCACACAUGUAUUCAAGGUACCACUCAAUAAAAGCAAUUCAAU